AUACUUACCUGCCAGGGGAGACACCAUGAUCACACAGGUGGUUUUCCCAGGACGAGGCUCACCCAUUGUACUUGGGGUGUGUUGAUCCCUGAGAUUUUCCCAAAUGUGGGAAACUUGACUGCAUAAUUUUUGUUAGUGGGGGACUGUGUUUGUGCUUUCCCCUG